rnacentral:rRNA from 1 species
AGUGAACGCUGGCGGCAGGCCUAACACAUGCAAGUCGAACGGCAGCGGGUCCUUCGGGAUGCCGGCGAGUGGCGGACGGGUGAGGAAUACAUGGGAAUCUGCCCAGUCGUGGGGGAUAACGUAGGGAAACUUACGCUAAUACCGCAUGCGACCUUAGGGUGAAAGCGGCGGACCGCAAGGCGUCGCGCGAUUGGAUGAGCCCAUGUCGGAUUAGCUAGUUGGCGGGGUAAAGGCCCACCAAGGCGACGAUCCGUAGCUGGUCUGAGAGGAUGAUCAGACACACUGGAACUGAGACACGGUACAGACUCCUACGGGAGGCAGCAGUGGGGAAUAUUGGACAAUGGGCGCAAGCCUGAUCCAGCCAUGCCGCGUGAGUGAAGAAGGCCUUCGGGUUGUAAAGCUCUUUUGUCCGGAAAGAAAAGCUCUCGGUUAAUACCCGGGGGUUCUGACGGUACCGGAAGAAUAAGCACCGGCUAACUUCGUGCCAGCAGCCGCCGUAAAAC